AAGUAAGGCUCACUCAAAGUGAUUUUCCCAAUCUACAGGGCAUUAGGAAGAAACUGACCUUGCACUCUUGUUUUCCUGAGUCCAAUUGCUAACCAGCUUUCAGAAGAGAAUGGAGUAUGUAUGUGUAUGUGUGUGCAGACAUCAGAGGAAUUCCCAAGUGGAGAGACAUAUAAAGAAACAGAAAAACAGAAGUAAAGCAGCAGUAGAAUUUAAGGAAACUACAUGAAACCCCAUUUGGAAUCCAAGAUAACUGGGAGGAAAAGGGACAUGUUCAUUCCAACCCAAGAAUGUAUAUGAGACUAAAAGAAUACAGAAUCUUCCCUGUAUCGGUCAUUUCUCACCCAGCAAAUCUGAACGGGCAAGAAGCCCUCCAGAUCACAGUGCAAGCUAAGCUAGGCCAUCCUCCUACCUUCUCCCAAGCUCCAAAAAGGAGUCUGGCAGGACUUAGCCCAGGGCUUAUGUUCUGGUUUAAAGCUGCCAUGUGCCCAAGAAAAGGCCACAUUCUUUUAAUCCACUCCCUUGGGGGCUGACUUACUAGGGGUGGGAAAUUUUUGAGAUGUGACCCACCCAAUUCAAGAUGUGUCUUAAUCCUUUACUGGAGUCCUUUAUGAGAAUAAAAGACAGAAAAAGCCCAGAGAGCUUGGAUUGAGAAACACCCAGAGAGCUUGGAGAGAAACACCCCAGAGAUGCUACGAGAGGACCUACAGAAGCUCAGAGAGGGGGGUACAGGAACCAGAAGCCGAAAGCAAUGAGACCCUGGAGUGAAGGACCAGCAGAGGCCAGCCAUGUGCCUUCCAUGUAUGGUCCACAACUUUUAUUCCUUUAGUUAUAAAAUUGCAACUAAAAGAUAAGAAAGACCUUGGACAUCCCUGUUCCCAGCCUUUUCCUUUUAAAAUUAAAAAACUGAGUAUUAUGUGAUGUCUGUUUUAAGUAAGUCAUCAAACAGCUGAAGAACCUGCCAAGUCCUCUGAAGGAGGGCAUCUCAAACCAGACCAAGGGUUAAGGAAAAUGUUGGCUUUUUUUGUACAGAAAACCAAGAAGUGUCCAUCUCCUCCUACCUCCCGACAUUAGAAUUAUAAGGAUGUCUCUGUCUUUUUCUGCAGAAAGGAGUUAGAUCCACCACAUUUCAAGCUGAGACAAAUAUGGGAGUAAGGAGUUUACUUAUUAUUCCUUUAUGACAUUAGCUUCUGUGAUUUGCAAAAAGGGAACAGGGGGCUAAGGGGAGUAGACAAACUCACCAAAAAUUAAAGUGGAUUCUGGUUAAAAAAAAAUUAAAACUGGACUUAAGAAAUCUGGUGUUAAUUUUCUAUUAAUUAAAAAAAAGGCAUUAUUCUAUGAUUUCA